AGCUCCAAUAGCGUAUAUUAAAGUUGUUGCGGUUAAAAAGCUCGUAGUUGGAUUUCAGUUCUGGACUGACGGUUCACCGCCCGGUGAUCACUGUCACGCUCCGAACAUUUUAACUACCCGCUGGCUCGCACGGGGUGCUCUUUACCGAGUGUCCCGCGUGGCCGGCAGAGUUUACUUUGAAAAAAUUAGAGUGCUCAAAGCAGGCUACACUGACGGCCUGAAUGCCUAUGCAUGGAAUAAUGGAAUAGGACCUCGGUUCUAUUUUGUCGGUUUUCUGAACCCGAGGUAAUGACUAAUAGGAACAGGCGGGGGCAUUCGUAUUGCGACGCUAGAGGUGAAAUUCUUGGACCGUCGCAAGACGAACUACUGCGAAAGCAUUUGCCAAGGAUGUUUUCAUUAA
rnacentral:rRNA from 1 species